rnacentral:rRNA from 1 species
CCAGCUCCAAUAGCGUAUAUUAAAGUUGUUGCAGUUAAAAAGCUCGUAGUUGAACCUUGGGCCUGGCUGGCCGGUCCGCCUCACCGCGUGUACUGGUCCGGCCGGGCCUUUCCUUCUGGGGAACCUCAUGCCCUUCACUGGGCGUGUUGGGGAACCAGGACUUUUACUUUGAAAAAAUUAGAGUGUUCAAAGCAGGCCUUUGCUCGAAUACAUUAGCAUGGAAUAAUAGAAUAGGACGUGUGGUUCUAUUUUGUUGGUUUCUAGGACCGCCGUAAUGAUUAAUAGGGAUAGUCGGGGGCAUCAGUAUUCAAUCGUCAGAGGUGAAAUUCUUGGAUUGAUUGAAGACUAACUACUGCGAAAGCAUUUGCCAAGGAUGUUUUCAUUAAUCAGUGAACGAAAGUUAGGGGAUCGAAGACGAUCAGAUACCGUCGUAGUCUUAACCAUAAACUAUGCCGACUAGGGAUCGGACGGUGUUAGUAUUUUGACCCGUUCGGCACCUUACGAGAAAUCAAAGUUUUUGGGUUCUGGGGGGAGUAUGGUCGCAAGGCUGAAACUUAAAGAAAUUGACGGAAGGGCACCACCAGGCGUGGAGCCUGCGGCUUAAUUCGACUCAAC